AUUUUUACAUAUUGUGAAAAUGAAAAAUAUAUUUUAUGUGUAAAGAAAAUAUCUUUUUAAAUUAUGCCGACAUUUAGCCAAUAAUUUGAAUUAUUACGUGUACCUAUCAGAGCUAGGAGAGUAUGUGAAAAUGUAUAUUAGUUUUGUGCUAUUUCGUUAAUGGGCUAUUGAUGAAAAUUUCAUUGAAUAUAUAUGAUCUUAAAAUAUCUGAGAUCCGAUUUAGCCGCCCAGCUUCGCCCAGCAGCGCCCAGUGCUUCAUCUACCGAUGUAUCGGAGACCUUGCGCUACAAUAUAUCAUACGUGAAAAGGGAUUAGCAUGCAAAAGCCAUAAUGAAAUUGUGUGUUAAUAACUUGCUUGUAAAAAGUUAAUAUAAACCAAAGAUUUCAUCGACAGUCGAUAAAAUAAGGCGACAAAAUAGGAUAUUGCGGAAUUCCCAUUUUUUAGAGCAUCAUAUGUAAUACAGAACUAUCCUCAUCAUAUCAUCAUCCUACUGCAACUACGUGCAGCUUAUUUUGGUUUUAACCGUCGUAGGACUGUUCGUGCGCCAAGAUAUAAAACUUCUCCCACAUCCCAAAAAGCAGCUACCUCAGCUAAGACAUGCACGCAUAACUCAUACGCCUUCAUUCCUCUUAUAGCGGCACUGCGAACAUGCCCUAAAAUGGAUUUAGAUGGCAGCCUUAUACACAAAAGGAUAUGGACAGACUUACUACUACAUUGGUUAAAUAAAAUUGGUAUGAGGGUGUCGUUACAUAAAACGAAGUCCAAUAGAGACACAGAGAGGCCGGGUUACACAAAGAAGGGCUCACAAACAUGGCGCCACAACACCAACGUAGCGAAACAUACUAUUUUUUUUCACGGUCUUCCAUGGACAUCGUGGGCCGAAUGAGAUCGUAGGCAGGACGGGUAUUGAAAGGCUCAGAGGCACAAUCGAUGCCCGUGCGGUAGGUUAGGUUACGUCUAUCAGUGUGUUUGUUAAAGGAUAAGUACGUGCUGUUAUUUCAGUUGUAACAGUCAGAAGGAAUGUCAGUGAGCCAAUUAUAUAGAAUCCCUCCCACAUUUCACGAACUAGCCAGUCUAUUACACGCCUCGAAUCUUUCUAAAGUGGCAUUUCCAAGUUGACCUAAAAUUUAUUGUAGUUAAUAGUUUUCGAUACAGAGGCAGGACAGACAGGCAUGAACAGUAUCCGUUACAUAAAAGUGGCAGAUUAUUAUUAAUCGUGCAUAUGAGACCAGUAUAGAGAAAAACUGUGAAAAUGUUUGGAUUUGGAAAAUGGAUCUGUAACAGAAUACACGCACAAGCGAAAAUAUUGGUGCUGUUAGUGAAUGUGUCGAAGAAGAUCCAAAUUUAUUCAUUACAUGGCGCGUGCAGUACGCGGCAUAUAUUGUAUUUGGAUUAGCAUCCGCCCUACUAAAAAUCACAACCUAACGAUACUAGCAUAAUCUUAGUGAGAUUUGGAUAAAUAAAAAAGUACUUUACGUAAUAAUACUAUUACGACCAUUACAUAAAGGUGUAAGUUAAUAUUUUCAUGUCAAGUAUUGUUAAAUGAAAGAAGUCAAAUUUUAUUUGAGGGCAGAAAAUAGCUGACGUUGAAAGGAAAGAUCAAUCAGGGCAGACGUGCGUCGUUGGCGACAAGACAAAAAACCGAGCCUAGUAAAAGAUAAAGAAAACCGAUUGGCCAAGAAUUUUUCAUGCGGAGUAAUUAACAUCGUUUAAAGUUCAGCGCCACGGUGUGAGUUGAUCAAUCGAGGCCAAUUUUACUUUAAUGUUUUUUCGCGGACAGAUGUGGCUAUAAAAAUUUGAACAGCAUGGGCAGUGUUUUUCGUUGAUAGCAAACUAAAUUGCUGCCUAUGGCUCAUGUAUAGGUGAAUACAGCUAAUAGGUUUAUCUGCACUUUUUCGUCUUCUUCUUAUAU